UUUCAAAAUUCUGGAAAGACCAUUUCUUAGUCUGUGCUGCCAUCUGAGACUCCAUCAAAAUUGUUAAACAGCAUAGUGGUUUGUCAUAAUACUGUAUAUCACAAUAAAUUCAGCUGGGAGAUGAGGUACACAUGGCAACUUGAACUGGCAAUGUGAACAAUCCAGGUAGAUGCAGAAAGCCAGAAAACUGAUACAACACUCACAGAGUCACAUCAUUAGUUCUCUCACCUCACAAUUGCGCACCAAGGGGCUGAUGGAAUAUGGCACAAGAAUAAUUCCAAGCAAGGUUUUCUGCAACAGUACAAUGUGGAGUGACUUCUCAUUGCCUCUUCACUUGAGGAAGGAGGAUUUGUGGAUGGAGCCAAAGGCUCAUGAAAAAGCUGGAUUUCAAGGAGACAUCUGAAGAAACAGGUUGCUUCGUAGAUGAGAAACAGAGGUAUGGCACUAGGAGGACAGAGGGCAGAGGAGAAGAUUUCUGCAAUCAAGCCCAAUAUGGAAUAAAUAAUAAAUUAGAAUUUCCACCAAGCAUCUUGAGUAGAAUAUACUGUAUAUCAUAUAGGAAAAAAAUAACAUGGCAUCAUGAAAUGGGGGCAAAUGAGAGAGCCAAGAACUGCAGGACAUCAUGGAGGAAGAGGGGAAA
rnacentral:lncRNA from 1 species